rnacentral:rRNA from 1 species
UACGUAGGGGGCAAGCGUUAUCCGGAUUUACUGGGUGUAAAGGGAGCGUAGGCGGUGCAGCAAGUCAGAAGUGAAAGCCCGGGGCUCAACUCCGGGACUGCUUUUGAAACUGUUGAACUAGAUUGCAGGAGAGGUAAGUGGAAUUCCUAGUGUAGCGGUGAAAUGCGUAGAUAUUAGGAGGAACACCAGUGGCGAAGGCGGCUUACUGGACUGUAACUGACGUUGAGGCUCGAAAGCGUGGGGAGCAAACAGG